rnacentral:rRNA from 1 species
ACGGGAGGCAGCAGUGAGGAAUAUUGGUCAAUGGGCGAGAGCUUGAACCAGCCAAGUCGCGUGCGGGAUGAAGGCCCUACGGGUCGUAAACCGCUUUUAUACGGGAAUAAAGUGCGCCUCGUGAGGCGUUUUGCAGGUACCGUAGGAAUAAGGAUCGGCUAACUCCGUGCCAGCAGCCGCGGUAAUACGGAGGAUCCGAGCGUUAUCCGGAUUUAUUGGGUUUAAAGGGUGCGCAGGCGGCCCUGUAAGUCAGCGGUUAAAUCGUGGAGCUCAACUCCAUUCCGCCGUUGAUACUGCAGGGCUUGAUUGCGGUCGAGGUUGGCGGAAUUCGCCGUGUAGCGGUGAAAUGCAUAGAUAUGGCGAAGAACUCCGAUUGCGUAGGCAGCUGACCAGGCCGUAAAUGACGCUCAUGCACGAAAGUGCGGGGAUCGAACAGGAUUAGAUACCCUGGUA